UACGUAGGGGGCAAGCGUUGUCCGGAUUUAUUGGGCGUAAAGAGCGUGUAGGCGGUCUGGUAGGUCCGUUGUGAAAACUCGAGGCUCAACCUCGAGACGCCGAUGGAAACCCUCAGGCUAGAGUCCGGAAGAGGAGAGUGGAAUUCCUGGUGUAGCGGUGAAAUGCGCAGAUAUCAGGAAGAACACCCGUGGCUAAGGCGGCUCUCUAGUACGGUACUGACGCUGAGACGCGAAAGCGUGGGGAGCGAACAGG
rnacentral:rRNA from 1 species